GCGCUUAGCUCAGUUGGUAGAGCGUCUGCCUUACAAGCAGAAUGUCGGCGGUUCGAUCCCGUCAGUUGGUA
rnacentral:tRNA from 1 species